UGGGGAAUAUUGGACAAUGGGCGAAAGCCUGAUCCAGCAAUACCGCGUGAGUGAUGAAGGCCUUAGGGUUGUAAAGCUCUUUUAGUAGGGAAGAUAAUGACGGUACCUACAGAAAAAGCCCCGGCUAACUCCGUGCCAGCAGCCGCGGUAAGACGGAGGGGGCUAGCGUUGUUCGGAAUUACUGGGCGUAAAGAGCGCGUAGGCGGCUUGGUAAGUUGGAAGUGAAAGCCCGAGGCUUAACCUCGGAAUUGCUUUCAAAACUGCUAGGCUAGAGUAUGGUAGGGGGUGAUAGAAUUCCUAGUGUAGAGGUGAAAUUCUUAGAUAUUAGGAGGAAUACCGGUGGCGAAGGCGGUCACCUGGGCCAUUACUGACGCUGAGGUGCGAAAGCGUGGGGAGCAAACAGG
rnacentral:rRNA from 1 species